rnacentral:lncRNA from 1 species
GACGUGUGUGCGUGUGUGUGUGCACGUGUGUACCUAUGUGUGUGUCUGUGUAUGCAUGAAUGAGUGUGUGUGUGGUUGUGUGUAUGUUAGAUACAUGCCUUUUGACUGAUCUCAGCUCCCAAAUCCAUUUCUGGAGCCUUAAGAAAAUGGAUGAAAUUAACACGGUCAGCACCCUGUGGGGGCCACAGGGCAUUGUCUGAUACCUCGGUGAGCAGGUGGGUGAGGACAGCCUCUGUCUAAACUGCUUGUCUGCAGUGGGUGGACCUGGUUUUUUAUUUAAAACACUCGCAAGUGUUGGAUGCCUUCUGAAGAUAGCACAGGGGACGAGAUGGUGACAGUGAGGGGACUCCCCACCCCACCCCUGGCCACCGAGAAGAAAAGUGGAGAAUACCAUUGCUUUCAGAAAGUCAAGCUACAAAACCUACACAUGUCUGGGCAGAGGUCAGGCCCUGUACAUGGGCUGGCUGGCUCUGCCUCUGGGGAAGCCUGGAUGUGCCAGGCCUGGGCGUGUGUGCUGGGGGGGAAUCCUGUUCAGGGAAGAGCGGUCCAGCUGAGGAGAGCAGGUCUGGAGGCCUCCAGUGAGACGGUGGGAGGCGGAACAUCUCAGAGCAGAAGCAGAAAGUGAUGGCGCGGGAACGGUGAGCCUUGACAGCUGCCGCCUCUCCAUCCCAGCGCCCCUGCCUCUCCGCCCCGGCGCCCCUGCCUCUCCGUCCCAGUGCGGCCUCCCUGCUUCCUUCUGAUAAUCCGCCUGUCUGCAGGCCAAGAUGCUGUGCGGGUCACUCUCUGGGCUGCCUGACAUUCAUUCUUCUCACCCAGGAGAAGCAGAUUUUCUGGUUUGUGCCUCAGCCUCAUGGGUGUGCCCGUGCCAGGCAGGGUGAGAGACCUACAAAACCUCUCAGCCUUCUGAGUCAGAGGUUGUACCCAUUUUGCAGAUAAGGAAUCAGAGGCACCACGAGGUGAAAGGACUUGCCUCAGCUGCUCGGCGAGGCUGGAGCUUGGGCCAAGGUAGUUGGGGCCCAGAGCCCGUGCCCUGGAGCGCUGCGUCGGUGAGGUGCUCAAAUUGCAUGAGGCUGGAGUUUCUGGGCCUGCCAGAGCGGGGAAUAGAAGGCUCACCGUGGAGGCACUGACCCUGCUCCGAGGGGCUCGGAGUCUGGUGAGGGCCAGACACAAAGCAGGUCAUUUCUACAUUGUGAUCGGGGUACUGAGAAAACUGAGGUGGCCGGAGAUUGUGUCUACUUCUGUAGACAGCCACGGACACAGCACAUGGCGGGAGACCAGAGAGAAGCCACUGACCGGCAGAGGCUGUCCCAGAGGCUGGCGCUGGGGGCCCUGCAGGGGUCCAGGUGCCCCAGAGUCUGGUGCUGGGGGCUCCCCAGGGGUCCAGGUGCAGAAGGGCUUUCCCGGAUGAGGGAACAGCAGGUGUCAAGGCUGGCAGCAGUGACUGUGCUGAUGAUGUCUGGGGGCCCCAGCUGUGGGAGGUGGCGGGAACAGGGGUGUGGGAUGAGGUGAGGGACCCCGACUAAUUCACGAGCAGCCCUCGAGGUGUCUUGUGGGCACUGAACCAUGUGAAGGUGGCUCUGGGGUCUGAUUCAUGUUCUGAGAGUUCUUCAGCUGCCCUGGUGGGGGUUGUGUGAGAGAGAGCCAGCGAAGGAGGUACAGGAAAGUUCUUGUCCCCCGCCUCGUGUUAGUGCAAACGGAGGUAAACUGAGGAGCACGGGAAAGGCUGUGCUUCUGCAGGGGAGUCACGAGUGAGCAGAGUGCGUGCAGGCGGCUCACCCAGGCCUGCCAUGGGUCCUUAGCCCUGCCUCCCAGGAACCCCGGAGGGCCACCCUGCUCAGGCUGUUCCUGGCAUAAGCGCGUGACAGCGGGGAAGGUACAGAUGUGGGAUUCUGGACCCUUCUGCCAACAGAAGAACCGGGCGCCGUGGAGCCUCCUCCCAGCUGCCCUGGGCACGCUGGAAAUACCUCCGCAGGCUGUUUUCUUUCCCUUCCUGUCAGUGCCCAACGCGUGUUGUUCUGUGCCCAGAGGAACUGGCUCUUCGGGUUCUGCGGCGUGUGCAUUAUAAUUCCCUCAAUUUUACUGAUGAGGAAAUCGAGGCAGGAGGAAGUUGAGUACUACAGAGCUGUCCUGUGGAGCCGGGCCGUCUGGCACUGGAGACAGGCUUCUAUCCACUCUGCCUGCGGUUCGCAAAGUGGGGUCCCCAGCCAGCGGCACCAGCAUCACCUGGAACUUGUGACAAAUGCACAUUCCAGGGCCCUUCUCCAGACCCACGGAAUCUAGGGCAAGGCUCAGCCAUCUGUGCCUUAGGGAGCUCUCCUGGAGAUUCUCACACUGGUCCAGGGGGUUCUUCAGUUAACUGACACCUUUGUUGAGCACCUACUUACCACAUAAGCCAUUGACGAGAUUGUGCUGGAAACAUGCAACUAUGCUAAAAACAAAGACUGUCACCUGCCCUUUCAGAGCUACGCAGAGCAGCCUGAGACUCACAGCGAAACAGCUUUUGUCUCUGGGCAGUUGCAGAGCAGGUUUGUUUGUUUGUUUGUUUUGUUUUAGGCUUUUUGCCAAAUACCAGAGGCCAGAACUAUGGAGAGGCUGCUGAAUCCAGGGCCAGGAGGGCUCCAAGGAGUUUGCAAACCUAGAUCUCCGGGAGGCCCUGGUUAAAGGAGGCUAAAUCCGUUGGGACAGACAUGGGUGUUUCAGGUUGGGAUCUCAUGGCUGAGUGUGCAAGCUGCCAACACUUCCGUGUAUGCUUUAUUCCCGUGGUUUUUGUUUGUUUUGUUUUUUUUUUUCCAGAUUUAAAGACUAAUAGGAGAUGAGCAAUGGCAGCUUUGGGGACCUUUUGUCUUUGCUUUGGCAUUUUGGCCAUUGGCUGAUUUUAAAAACAAAAUAGAACUAUCUGGUGGCCCCAAGCCCCAAUGCAUAAGCUCAAGGUGGAGUCCCCAGGGCUGUUUUUCCCGAUGGAGAGUUUGGUGCCCAUUCUGUGAUCACAGGGGAAGCUGCUGGGCCGUUUUCACCUCCUCCUCCCACAUACACAGGCAUGCUUGCGGUAGACUCACAAGAAGUUACAGAACAUCAGCUGCCCGCAAAAAGCAUCUUUUGUGAAAGACAGGGAGCAAGGAUAUAUUAAAAACAAGCAAGCAGCUGAGGUGGGUGGAUCAUGAGGUCAGGAGAUCGAGACCAUCCUGGCUAACACAGUGAAACCCCAUCUCUACUAAAAAUACAAAAAAUUAGCUGGGCAUAGUUGCACGUACCUGUAGUCCCAGCUACUUGGGAGGCUGAGGCAGGAGAAUCGCUUGAACCCAGGAGGCAGAGGUUGCAGUAAGCCAAGAUCACACCACUGCACUCCAGCCUGGGUGACAGAGUGAGACUCCAUCUCAAAAAAACAAAAAAACAAGCAGGUGCAGGUGCUCAUGCCUGUAGUCCCAGCUACUUGGGAGGCUGAGGUGGAGGGAUCGCUUGAAUCCAGGAGUUAGACCAGCCUGGGCAACAUAGCAAGACCCUGUCUUAAAAAAAAAAAAAACCCGAAAUUGAAAAACACAAAACAAGCAAAUAGACCUGAAACACUCCAGCUACCCCUUCUGUAAGGAAAGCCAACAAGAGUUAGUCCCAACCUCAUCCCACUCCCCAGACCCCUUCCCAAACCCCUUCCCAGACCCCACUGCCCACUUUCCGUGGGGGGGAAAGGGGAAUCAUUAGGGCAUUCCUUACAUCCCGGCUGUCUGGCAAACUUAAAUGGGUUACACCUGGAGCCACUGGCCCCACUUAGUAACCCGAGGAUACUCGUGGA